AGUUUUGAAAAGCUUGCUUUUCAAAUCUUAGCGGCGGACGGGUGAGUAACACGUGGGCAACCUGCCCUUGAGACGGGGAUAACUCCGGGAAACCGGAGCUAAUACCGGAUAACACAUAUCUUCGCAUGAGGAUAUGUUAGAAGGUGGCUUUUAGCUACCACUCAAGGAUGGGCCAGCGGCGCAUUAGCUAGUUGGUGAGGUAACGGCUCACCAAGGCGACGAUGCGUAGCCGACCUGAGAGGGUGAUCGGCCACACUGGGACUGAGACACGGCCCAGACUCCUACGGGAGGCAGCAGUAGGGAAUCUUCCGCAAUGGACGAAAGUCUGACGGAGCAACGCCGCGUGAGUGAUGAAGGUUUUCGGAUCGUAAAGCUCUGUUGUUAGGGAAGAACUAGUACCUGUUGAAUAAGCAGGUACCUUGACGGUACCUAACCAGAAAGCCACGGCUAACUACGUGCCAGCAGCCGCGGUAAUACGUAGGUGGCAAGCGUUGUCCGGAAUUAUUGGGCGUAAAGCGCGCACAGGCGGUUCCUUAAGUCUGAUGUGAAAGCCCACAGCUCACCCGUGGAGGGUCAUUGGAAGCUGGGGAACUUGAGUGCAGAAGAGGAGAGCGGAAUUCCACGUGUAGCGGUGAAAUGCAUACAGA
rnacentral:rRNA from 2 species